AAAGUCUCGUUGGUGACAGCGGAGGGUCAUUACCGAGUUUACAACUCCCAAACCCCAAUGUGAACGUUACCAAACUGUUGCCUCGGCGGGAUUUCUGCCCCGGGCGCGUCGCAGCCCCGGACCAAGGCGCCCGCCGGAGGACCAAUUUACAAACUCUUUUGUAUAUCCCAUCGCGGAUUCUUUACAUUCUGAGCUUUCUCGGCGCUCCUAGCGAGCGUUUCGAAAAUGAAUCAAAACUUUCAACAACGGAUCUCUUGGUUCUGGCAUCGAUGAAGAACGCAGCGAAAUGCGAUAAGUAAUGUGAAUUGCAGAAUUCAGUGAAUCAUCGAAUCUUUGAACGCACAUUGCGCCCGCCAGUAUUCUGGCGGGCAUGCCUGUCCGAGCGUCAUUUCAACCCUCGAACCCCUCCGGGGGGUCGGCGUUGGGGAUCGGCACUUACCUGCCGGCCCCGAAAUACAGUGGCGGUCUCGCCGCAGCCUCUCCUGCGCAGUAGUUUGCACACUCGCACCGGGAGCGCGGCGCGUCCACGGCCGUAAAACAACCCAAACUUCUGAAAUGUUGACCUCGGAUCAGGUAGGAAUACCCGCUGAACUUAAGCAUAUCAAUAAGCGGAGGA
rnacentral:rRNA from 1 species